UACGUAGGUGGCAAGCGUUGUCCGGAUUUAUUGGGUUUAAAGGGUGCGUAGGCGGUUCUAUAAGUCAGUGGUGAAAUCCGGCAGCUCAACUGUCGAUGUGCCAUUGAUACUGCAGAACUUGAGUACAGACGAGGUAGGCGGAAUUGACGGUGUAGCGGUGAAAUGCUUAGAUAUCGUCAAGGACACCGAUAGCGAAGGCAGCUUACUAGACUGUAACUGACGCUGAUGCACGAAAGUGUGGGGAUCAAACAGG
rnacentral:rRNA from 1 species